GGGAAUGUGGCUUAGUGGUAGAGUGCUUGCCUAGCAUGCAUGAAGCCCUGGGUUGAAUUCCUCAAUACCA
rnacentral:tRNA from 1 species